GUGUCAGCAGCCGCGGUAAGACAGAGGGUGCAAACGUUGUUCGGAAUUACUGGGCGUAAAGCGAGUGUAGGCGGUUUGGUAAGUCGGAUGUGAAAGCCCCGGGCUCAACCCGGGAAGUGCACUCGAUACUGCCAAGCUAGAGUAUCGGAGAGGUUGGUGGAAUUCUCGGUGUAGAGGUGAAAUUCGUAGAUAUCGAGAGGAACACCGGUGGCGAAGGCGGCCAACUGGACGAAUACUGACGCUGAGACUCGAAAGCGUGGGGAGCAAACAGGAUUAGAAACCCCCGUAGUCC
rnacentral:rRNA from 1 species